AUUGAACGCUGGCGGCAUGCUUUACACAUGCAAGUCGAACGGCAGCACGGGGGCAACCCUGGUGGCGAGUGGCGAACGGGUGAGUAACACGUCGGAACGUGCCCAGGUGUGGGGGAUAACCUAUCGAAAGGUAGGCUAAUACCGUAUGAGCUCGAGAGAGGAAAGCGGGGGAGUCGUAAGGGCCUCGCGCGACUGGAGCGGCCGAUGUCCGAUUAGCUAGUUGGGGGGGUAAAGGCCCACCAAGGCGACGAUCGGUAGCUGGUCUGAGAGGAUGAUCAGCCACACUGGGACUGAGACACGGCCCAGACUCCUACGGGAGGCAGCAGUGGGGAAUUUUGGACAAUGGGGGCAACCCUGAUCCAGCCAUGCCGCGUGAGUGAAGAAGGCCUUCGGGUUGUAAAGCUCUUUCGGUGGGAACGAAACGGUGGCGGUAAAUAAUCGUCAUCAAUGACGGUACUCACAGAAGAAGCACCGGCUAACUACGUGCCAGCCGCCGCCGUAACAC
rnacentral:rRNA from 1 species